GAGGAUUAUCUUGCCUUGCUUUCCAUUCCAUGAAGCACACAACUUCUCAAUAGGCCAUUGCAAAAAGUUCCUAUUUAGUCCUCAAUCUCGGCAAUCAAGCAUGUUCCUUAUUUCGCAGGUAACUGGUGUAGUCAUACUUGGAACCCCCAAAAUAAAGAUAUCAGAUGUCAAGAUAGACAACUAGGGGUAGGAGAAUGAAGAGCCAUGCUGCAAAUUUCUCUGUUUAAGAUGUUGAGGUUGAUUAGUCACCAGCUGCUACGUGGGCUGAUCAAGGAACUACCUGCCGUUUGUCUUCCAUUCCACAAGAGCUAUCAAGCUUG
rnacentral:lncRNA from 1 species